ACCCUAUCAUUUUGUGUUGUCAAUCCAUACUCCUUUUGGAAGGGAUCUUCUGGUACUUGGCACUAGAUCUCAUUCGAGUGCUCUUGCUCUUUGUCAUUCGAGCUCUUUGGCUCGCUGAUUUGCUUUCAGACUUCUUUUUCCUCAACUCGGCUUUUUAGUGUCGGAUGUCAAUUUCUGAGACCCGCCACCUGCCUCAUUGGACUUCUUUACUUUCUUAACUCAGGUUUUUAGUGUCAGCGGUUUAUUUUCGAGACCGGUCACCUACCUUAUUGAGAUCUUCAUUUUCUCAAUCGGUUUUGUGGUGUCGGUGGUCUAUUUUCGAAACCGGUCACUCAUCUCAUUGAGGUAUUCAUUUCCUCAACUAGUUUUGCAAUGCCAGCGGUUUAUUUUCGAGACCGGUCACCCACCUUAUUGAGAUCUUCAUUUUCUCAACUGGUUUUGUAAUGCCGGCGGUCUAUUUCCGAGACCAAUCACCCACCUCAUUGAGGUCUUCAUUUUCUCAAUAGACCGAGACCGAUCACCCACUUCAUUAAGGUCUUCAUUUCCCCAACUGGUUUUGUGGUGCCAGCAAUCUGUUUCCGAGACCGAUCAUCCACCUCAUUGAGGUCUUCAUUUCCUCAAUUGGUUUUGUGGUGCCGGCAGUCUAUUUUCAAGACUGGUCACCCACCUCAUUUCAUUUCCUCAACCGGUUUUGUAGCGCCGGCGGUCUAUUUUUGAGACCGGUAAUCUACCGCACUGAGGUCUUCAUUUUCUCAACCGGUUUUAUAGUGCCGACGAUCUAUUUCCGAGACUGGUCACCCACCUCAUUGAGGUAUUCUGGUUUUAUGACCGAGGCUUCCAGACUUUUUAGCCUUGUUAUUACUUUUAAAAUUUAUCUGUAAAAUAAAAGCUUGUACAGAUUGUAUGUAACAAGAAUGCUCAUUGUUAAUUUGAAUAGCAAGAUAUUUAGCUUCAUAUUUCAACUGAAUGCAAAAUAUUAAUUUUAUCCAACUAUAUCAUCUCAUAUAAUUCUAAAGAAUCUAAUAAAUAAUGUUUCUCAUUCAUAAAUCAUUCUACAGCUUUUAAUUCUCAUAACAGUAUACUUAAGCAAAUAAUCCUCUUUUUAAGGAAUUCAUAUCAAUAUUAAUCACCGAUAAAAGCUUUUUAAGCUGUUUCUAAAAUACUAUCAUGUCCAAGCAUAUAUUCAAAAGGACUACUGUUUGAAACUAGUCAUGAUGACAAAAAUACUUUGAACUAAACAGGUAACUGUAUAGUUUGGUUAACUCGCGCAUGUCACCUCUCUUUCACCCUGGACGGAUUACCCUUGUGUCGCAUUCCCUUCUCACAUUGCAGUCGACCUUUUUUUGACUUUACUGUGUGAUCAGCCAUUCUUAGGUCUUUUCUCCAUCUCUCUUUCCUUUGGUCCUUUUUUGCUAUUUGGCUAUUAACUUUUCUUUAUUUGCCAUGUGAAUCUCAACGGGCUUUGUUUGGAAACUUCAGUGAUAAGAUAUUCUCCUUCGUUUCCACAGACGAUGCCACUUGAUAAUACUAAGAUCUGGCGGGACGUUCAGAUGAGGACACUUAAACAGAGGUCUGAUUCACUGGAUUGAUC
rnacentral:lncRNA from 1 species